AUAACCGAUGACAAAACCACCAAAAUACCCUGCAAAUCACCACCAGAACUAGUGUACAUGGGAACAAGCUCAAAGAGACGGCCCAGGACAUGUGGCCAGAAAGUAGAAGUGAAAGAAGAGCGGAUAGCAGUCAGCAAGCUCGCACAAACAUCAUGCACACUGACAAAAUGCCAGUGGGUGAGGGCAAAGGCAUGAAAGCAUUUAAGCCACCUGCAAAGCGGAAGCUGGACCCAGAAAAUGUAAUUGGCAGCAGGAGAUGGCCAAGAGCACCUAAGGAAAAGGCCCAACCUCUGGAAGAUCAGGCUGGCUUCCAAGAUCUCUCUCAAACACCAGGCCACGCUGAGAAACUGGUAAAUGGUGUUGAUAGCUUUACAAGCGCUCCAAAGCAAGCACCCGACGGUGGAAAACCUCUAAAAAUAUCCUGAAGAGUUCUUCGGGCCCCUAAAGUAGAACCCGUGGGAGACUUGGUAGGCACCAGAGACCCUGUAAAAUCACAAAGCAAAAGCAACACUUCCCUGCCCCCCACUGCCCUCCAAGAGGGGAUGUGGAAAAGAUCGAAGUGUCACUGGAACCCAGAGGCCACGCUGCAUGCCUGCACCAGAGUAAAUCAUAGAGGAGCUGCCAGCCAGCAAGAAGCAGAUGGUUGCUCCCAGGGUGAGAGGCAGAUCACCUGAACCUUUGGUCAUCAAGAAGAGAAGUCUGAGGACUUCUGCAAGAAGAAUUGAGCCUGUGGAAGAUCUGAACAGCAACAACAUGAAAACCAACAAAGAGGAACACAAAUUACAAGACUCAGUCCCUGAAAAUAAGGGAAUGUCCCUGCACUCCAGAUGCCAAAAUAAGACUGAUGUAGAACAGCAAAUAACUGAGGUUCUUGUAUUAGCAGAAAGAAUUGAAAUAAACAGAAAUGAAAAGAAGCCCAUGAAGACCUCCCAAGACAUGGACAUUCAAAAUCCAGAGGAUGAAGCCCAGAAACCCAUACCUAGGGGCAAAGUCAGUGAAAACAAAAGGUGCUUGAAGUCUGUUAGACAGAAUAAGAGCUCCCAGCCUAAGGUGGCAGAGGAGAGCAGAGGGCAGAAGGGUACCGGAGUUCUCAUGCAGAAUCAGGAAGGGAAAGGAGAAGCAGGAAAUUCAGACUCCAUGUGUUUGAGAUCCACAAAGAUGAAAAGCCAGUCUGCAACAAGCACUUUGGAGAGUGAAUCUGCACAGAGAGUAACACAGAGUGUCAAGAGGCAUGCAGAAAAUCCAAAGAAGGCUGAGGACGCUGUGUGCAUCAAGAAAAUAAGAACCAGAAGUCACUGGGACAGUGAAGACAUUUAACAAAGAAAUCCAACUGGGAAAAAUAUAGUAAAGUUCGUUUUGUGA